UGCGGAUUGAUGUAAUAGUAGCAUAGUUGGCUCAUGCCCAACAAAUAGGGGUGCAACUCCUCUAUCCGCUU
rnacentral:tRNA from 1 species